UCCCAGUUCGCCUGCUGCCGUCUGGUACUCUUAAUAGUCAACAAUCUCGCAUUGAUUAUUCAGAUCUGCAGGAAAGCCACGAGGCUCUGGUGUCACUGGGAUUGCAGGAGUGCGUCACCACGCCUGGCAACAACGGAUGGUUUUUACAACUUUACCUUCUGGCUUUACAAAUAAUUACACAAAUUUAUGAUUUUUAAGCCAAGAGCUACUUUGAUAUGAACUUUUAAGAAAAAGUUUUAUCAUAAUUGACAAGUUAUCCAGUAAUUAAUCAUAAAAUUUACCUGACAAAUGACAAAAGAUGUAAGACAUAUUGGAAAAAUUCAACGACUUGGAAU
rnacentral:lncRNA from 1 species